rnacentral:rRNA from 1 species
CCUACGGGUGGCAGCAGUGGGGAAUAUUGGGCAAUGGGCGCAAGCCUGACCCAGUAACGCCGCGUGAGGGAAGAAGGCUUUCGGGUUGUAAACUUCUUUUGUCAGGGACGAAGCAAGUGACGGUACCUGACGGAUAAGCCACGGCUAACUACGUGCCAGCAGCCGCGGUAAUACGUAGGUGGCAAGCGUUAUCCGGAUUUACUGGGUGUAAAGGGCGUGUAGGCGGGGAAGCAAGUCAGAUGUGAAAACCACGGGCUCAACCUGUGGCCUGCAUUUGAAACUGUUUUUCUUGAGUGCUGGGGAGGCAAUCGGAAUUCCGUGUGUAGCGGUGAAAUGCGUAGAUAUACGGAGGAACACCAGUGGCGAAGGCGGAUUGCUGGACAGUAACUGACGCUGAGGCGCGAAAGCGUGGGGAGCAAACAGGAUUAGAUACCCCGGUAGUC